UACAGAGGGUGCGAGCGUUGUUCGGAAUUAUUGGGCGUAAAGGGCGCGUAGGCGGUGCGGUAAGUCACCUGUGAAAUCUCCUGGCUCAACUGGGAGCUUGCAGGCGAAACUGCCGUGCUGGAGUGUGGGAGAGGUGAGUGGAAUUCCCGGUGUAGCGGUGAAAUGCGUAGAUAUCAGGAGGAACACCGGUGGCGAAGGCGGUGAUCUGGGCCGACACUGACGCUGUAGAGCGAAAGCGUGGGGAGCGAACAGG
rnacentral:rRNA from 1 species